GUUCCCUUCUUUGUGAAGGAAUUGGAAAACCCCUGGUCUUUGUGGUUGAAUCUGUGUUUGAAAUUCACUGCUCGACUGAGGGACCUUACAGAUUCCAAUUACCAUGAGACGGUUGGAGUGCAUAGGGAAGAUGAGAUUGUCCAAAUUCAGAAGGGGUGCUGCUCAGGUCAUCUAUAAGUCUUUGCUAGAGAUCAAGAUGGAGAGGAGACGCAUGACUCAGACUGCUCCCCAUAUGCUGUGAGCAGAAGAGAGGAGGAGGGUCCCUAAUCACUUCUGAAGAUGACUGAAGUGAGAGAUCCUAUUACUGCACAGAACAGGGCCGAGGAACACUGCACAGAACAGGGCUGAGGAACAUGCUGAUGUUGCUGCCGAGCCCUAUUCUGUGGUCAUGCUCAAUACUGAAUAUGAGGCCUUUGACCCCCAGGCCACACAGACGUCAUGCACUUGACCACCUCAGGAUUGGAACGAAAGUAUGAAUUACUAACAACCAAUAGUUACUCA